UACGUAGGGGGCAAGCGUUAUCCGGAUUUAUUGGGUGUAAAGGGUGCGUAGACGGGAAAAUAAGUUAGUUGUGAAAUCCCUCGGCUUAACUGAGGAACUGCAACUAAAACUGAAUUUCUUGAGUGCGGGAGAGGAAAGUGGAAUUCCUAGUGUAGCGGUGAAAUGCGUAGAUAUUAGGAGGAACACCAGUGGCGAAGGCGACUUUCUGGACCGUAACUGACGCUGAGGCACGAAAGUGCGGGUAUCGAACAGG
rnacentral:rRNA from 1 species